GACGAACGCUGGCGGCGUGCUUAACACAUGCAAGUCGAACGGAAAGGCCCCUUUGGGGGUCCUCGAGUGGCGAACGGGUGAGUAACACGUGAGUAACCUGCCCUUGACUUCGGGAUAACUUCAGGAAACUGGGGCUAAUACCGGAUAGGAAUCCUUGCUGCAUGGUGGGGGUUGGAAAGCUUCGGCGGUUUUGGAUGGACUCGCGGCUUAUCAGCUUGUUGGUGGGUAGUGGCUUACCAAGGCUUUGACGGGUAGCCGGCCUGAGAGGGCGACCGGCCACAUUGGGACUGAGAUACGGCCCAGACUCCUACGGGAGGCAGCAGUGGGGAAUAUUGCACAAUGGGCGGAAGCCUGAUGCAGCAACGCCGCGUGCGGGAUGACGGCCUUCGGGUUGGAAACCGCUUUCAGCAGGGGCGAAGCUUGUGGUGACGGUACCUGCAGAAGAAGCACCGGCUAACUACGUG
rnacentral:rRNA from 1 species